AUACAUGCAGUCGAGCGGAGUUGAUAGGGAAGCUUGCUUCNUUGAUACGUUAGCGGCGGACGGGUGAGUAACACGUAGGCAACCUGCCCUCAAGUUUGGGACAACUACCGGAAACGGUAGCUAAUACCGAAUANUUGUUUUCUUCGCCUGAAGGAAACUGGAAAGACGGAGCAAUCUGUCACUUGGGGAUGGGCCUGCGGCNAUUAGCUAGUUGGUGAGGUAACGGCUCACCAAGGCGACGAUGCGUAGCCAACCUGAGAGGGUGAUCGGCCACACUGGGACUGAGACACGGCCCAGACUCCUACGGGAGGCAGCAGUAGGGAAUCUUCCGCAAUG
rnacentral:rRNA from 1 species